GGGGGCUGGGAGGGACUGGGAGGGAAUGGGAGGGAAUGGGAGUCAUACUGGGAUAUACUGGGAGGGACUGGGAGGUACUGGGAGUCAUACUGGGAGGGACUGGGAUAUACUGGGAGGGACUGGGAGGGGCUGGGAGGGCACUGGGAGGGACUGGGAGCCAUACUGGGAUAUACUGGGAGGGACUGAGAGGGGCUGGGAGGGACUGGGAGUCAUACUGGGGUAUACUGGGAGGGACUGGGAUAUACUGGGA
ensembl:lncRNA